UUUGGAAGGAAGUCAAAGCUCGGAAGAAGAGAACUGCAUGGGAGUGGUGAAUAAGCUUUAAUCUUGGCAAUAAAGAUACAGAGAUGAAAAACGUCUAUGAUGGAUUCAGUGAGUGAGGGUCUGCAGGGGCUCCCAAGAGGAAGAGGGGUGCAGGGGAAAUCUGCAAAGACGACUCUGCUGCUAACAGAAUGUUGUCCACAUUGUAAAAAUAGCCAGAAGAGAGAAGAAGAGUGGUUCUCAAGCCACAUUCCACUGAGCCGUGGGUUCCAUGUUGUUGUAUCCGGGAAUGUUGGAAAGGUGAAGGGACAGGCAUUUCUGGUGGGUAGCGUCUAGGCCCCUCAGCUCAACUUCAACUAGAGCAGUUCAGUGUUGAUCCAUUAAAUAUAUUGACAUCUCACAUACUAUCCCGCUUGAAGAAAGGAUUCUUCUGCUGACAGAAAAAUAAAGGAGGGAUGGAAGGACUGAAGAAAGAAAGAGAGAGAGAGAGAGAGAGAGAGAAAACUUCAUUGGUUUCUAGUCCUGACCCAGGAGGAAAUUUCCAUUUCUAAAUGCAAAUCAUUUGAAAGGCUAAAGAAGGGAGAGGGCUGCCUACUUUGUGAGCUGAUAACAGAAAACCUCUGCUCCAUUAUGCAAGUCUAGAGAAAAGAAUGGUUUAUAAACAUUGGUUUUUCAGUCCAUCAGGGCGCCAGGACCCUGCGUUGCCAAGAGACAUCUCCAGUGCUGAAAUGAAAUAAGAAGACCAUGUUUACAUUAACAUUCCCAUUUGAUUCACUGUUUGAUUAAGACAGAAGAGAGGGAAGAAUCAAACUGCCCAGCGUCCUGAUUGGAGAGGACAUAACACGAAGAGAAGCUGUAUACACAGUCCCCAUCAGAGGCAAAGAGUAAAGCAAGCGUUUUGUGCUCCAAAUCCCCAUUCCUCACUCUGCUCCCCACCCCGCAGCUCCAAUGCCCCCUGUGAUCCCCCCAUUAUAACUGAUAGUUCAGAAAGGAACUGAUAAACCUGCUCAGCCAGUGCAAAGGUGUCUGGGAAAGACACAGGGCACUGAAAACAGGAUAGGUUUUGGCGUCUGCCAGACAU